GCUGGUCUUGUGGUCAUCCUCACUCCCUCUGUUUCUGGCUGAAUAUGUAUCCAUGGCUUCCUGUCUGUUCCUGCCCUGUCCCCCAUGUGUCCUGCCCUGGUUGUACCUGCCUGGCAUUUGGUCCGUUUCAGCGUCAGUGGUCAACAAGUUCCUGAGCUCUGCUCUGGUGCCUUGUGUGGCAUUCUCUAUCAGCCUGGUCUUGCUGCCAAAAGUAUUCCGCCAGUUGUUUCCUGAAGCCUUGCCUAGCUGUUCCUGUUGUAUCUUGUGCACUUCACUGCCCUCUUGUAACAAUCUUUUGUCAAACCCUUGUUAUCUCCCUGCAAUUGGGUCCUCCUUCCUAGCUUCCUGACGGUAAUGGCAUUAAGCCUGGUGCACAUAUUUAGAUGCUCCAUAAUUUAAUAUGCAAUUUGAGGAAGAUUUUCAAAAAAGAAAGUCUCUAGUGUAUAAGUCACACUCCUAUGGCUUCAAGAAACUUGAAAUAUUUUGUACAGGA